rnacentral:rRNA from 2 species
AAAACGGAGAGUUUGAUCCUGGCUCAGGAUGAACGCUGGCGGUAUGCUUAACACAUGCAAGUCGAACGGUGUCUUCGGACACAGUGGCGGACGGGUGAGUAACGCGUGAGAAUCUGGCUCUAGGUCUGGGACAACCACUGGAAACGGUGGCUAAUACCGGAUGUGCCGAGAGGUGAAAGGUUAACUGCCUAGAGAUGAGCUCGCGUCUGAUUAGCUAGUUGGAAGUGUAAUGGACUCCCAAGGCGACGAUCAGUAGCUGGUCUGAGAGGACGAUCAGCCACACUGGGACUGAGACACGGCCCAGACUCCUACGGGAGGCAGCAGUGGGGAAUUUUCCGCAAUGGGCGAAAGCCUGACGGAGCAAUACCGCGUGAGGGAGGAAGGCUCUUGGGUCGUAAACCUCUUUUCUCAGGGAAGAACACAAUGACGGUACCUGAGGAAUAAGCAUCGGCUAACUCCGUGCCAGCAGCCGCGGUAAUACGGAGGAUGCAAGCGUUAUCCGGAAUGAUUGGGCGUAAAGCGUCCGCAGGUGGCAAUGUAAGUCUGCUGUUAAAGAGUCUAGCUCAACUAGAUAAAAGCAGUGGAAACUACAUAGCUAGAGUACGUUCGGGGCAGAGGGAAUUCCUGGUGUAGCGGUGAAAUGCGUAGAGAUCAGGAAGAACACCGGUGGCGAAGGCGCUCUGCUAGGCCGUAACUGACACUGAGGGACGAAAGCUAGGGGAGCGAAUGGGAUUAGAUACCCCAGUAGUCCUAGCCGUAAACGAUGGAUACUAGGCGUGGCUUGUAUCGACCCGAGCCGUGCCGUAGCUAACGCGUUAAGUAUCCCGCCUGGGGAGUACGCCGGCAACGGUGAAACUCAAAGGAAUUGACGGGGGCCCGCACAAGCGGUGGAGUAUGUGGUUUAAUUCGAUGCAACGCGAAGAACCUUACCAAGGCUUGACAUGUCGCGAAUCUUCUUGAAAGGGAAGAGUGCCUUCGGGAGCGCGAACACAGGUGGUGCAUGGCUGUCGUCAGCUCGUGUCGUGAGAUGUUGGGUUAAGUCCCGCAACGAGCGCAACCCUCGUUUUUAGUUGCCAGCAUUAAGUUGGGCACUCUAGAGAGACUGCCGGUGACAAACCGGAGGAAGGUGGGGAUGACGUCAAGUCAGCAUGCCCCUUACGCCUUGGGCUACACACGUACUACAAUGCUCCGGACAGAGGGCAGCAAGCAUGCGAAUGCAAGCAAAUCCCGUAAACCGGAGCUCAGUUCAGAUCGCAGGCUGCAACUCGCCUGCGUGAAGGAGGAAUCGCUAGUAAUUGCAGGUCAGCAUACUGCAGUGAAUUCGUUCCCGGGCCUUGUACACACCGCCCGUCACACCAUGGAAGCUGGUAGUGCCCGAAGUCAUUACUCCAACCUUUCGGGGAGGAGGAUGCCUAAGGCAGGACUGGUGACUGGGGUGAAGUCGUAACAAGGUAGCCGUACCGGAAGGUGUGGCUGGAUCACCUCCUUUUU